rnacentral:rRNA from 1 species
CCCGGCACAAGCGGUGGAGCACGUGGUUUAAUUUCGAUGAUACGCGAGGAACCUUACCUGGGCGUCAAAUGUAUGUUGACGUAUUCUGAAAGGGAGUACUUCUUCGGACAAUAUACAAGGUGCUGCAUGGUUGUCGUCAGCUCGUGUCGUGAGAUGUUGGGUUAAGUCCCGCAACGAGCGCAACCCUUGCCUUUAGUUGCCAGCAGUUCGGCUGGGCACUCUAAAGGGACUGCCGGUGUUAAACCGGAGGAAGGUGGGGAUGACGUCAAGUCCUCAUGGCCUUUAUGACCAGGGCUACACACGUACUACAAUGGCCGAUACAAAGGGCAGCGACACUGCGAGGUGAAGCCAAUCCCGUAAAAUCGGUCUCAGUCCGGAUUGGAGUCUGCAACUCGACUCCAUGAAGUUGGAAUCGCUAGUAAUCGUGGAUCAGCAUGCCACGGUGAAUACGUUCCCGGGCCUU